AUUGAACGCUGGCGGCAUGCUUUACACAUGCAAGUCGGACGGCAGCACAGAGAAGCUUGCUUCUUGGGUGGCGAGUGGCGAACGGGUGAGUAAUAUAUCGGAACGUACCGAGUAAUGGGGGAUAACUAAUCGAAAGAUUAGCUAAUACCGCAUAUUCUCUGAGGAGGAAAACAGGGGACCUUCGGGCCUUGCGUUAUUCGAGCGGCCGAUAUCUGAUUAGCUAGUUGGUGGGGUAAAGGCCUACCAAGGCGACGAUCAGUAGCGGGUCUGAGAGGAUGAUCCGCCACACUGGGACUGAGACACGGCCCAGACUCCUACGGGAGGCAGCAGUGGGGAAUUUUGGACAAUGGGCGCAAGCCUGAUCCAGCCAUGCCGCGUGUCUGAAGAAGGCCUUCGGGUUGUAAAGGACUUUUGUCAGGGAAGAAAAGGCUGUGGCUAAUAUCAAGAGCUGAUGACGGUACCUGAAGAAUAAGCACCGGCUAACUACGUG
rnacentral:rRNA from 1 species